CGCGGGCGCAGCCUGAUCCAGCAUGCCGCGUGUGUGAAGAAGGCCUUCGGGUUGUAAAGCACUUUUGUCCGGAAAGAAAACCUCCUGGUUAAUACCCGGGGGGGAUGACGGUACCGGAAGAAUAAGCACCGGCUAACUACGUGCCAGCAGCCGCGGUAAUACGUAGGGUGCAAGCGUUAAUCGGAAUUACUGGGCGUAAAGCGUGCGCAGGCGGUUUUGUAAGACAGAUGUGAAAUCCCCGGGCUCAACCUGGGAACUGCAUUUGUGACUGGCAGGCUAGAGUAUGGCAGAGGGGGGUAGAAUUCCACGUGUAGCAGUGAAAUGCGUAGAGAUGUGGAGGAAUACCGAUGGCGAAGGCAGCCCCCUGGGACAAUCACUGACGCUCAUGCACGAAAGCGUGGGGAGCAAACAGGAUUAGAUACCCUGGUAGUCCACGCCCUAAACGAUGUCAACUAGUUGUUGGGGAUUCAUUUCCUUCAGUAACGUAGCUAACGCGUGAAGUUGACCGCCUGGGGAGUACGGUCGCAAGAUUAAACCUCAAAGGAAUUUUGACGGA
rnacentral:rRNA from 1 species